rnacentral:lncRNA from 1 species
CUGCAGGGUGCUUAAGUUUCCCUUUGAGGUUCUUCCUCAGUUCAGAUCAACUUUCUAGUGAGGCACUAGAAUUAAAAACAAACAAACAAACAAACAAGAAGCCAAACCAAAACAAAAAAACCUACUGUGGCAUUAAGCUCAACUUCAGUAUAAACAAAGUAGGGAAGAAUAAAUGAGAAUAAAGUUUUAUUUCUAAGAGCUAGGUUGCUUUUACUAGGGACUAGGACUGGAAGGGAGCUGAAAGAUUGAGAUUUAACAAAAAAAUAGUCUUUUUGUGUAUUUGUGUAUUUUUCUCCUUCUUUCAAAGGAGAAAAAGCAGACAAUCUUUUGAAAGAUAUAGAUAUUUUUUCUUUAGAUAUAUAACUUCAACUUCCUUAAGGAAAUCUAUUCUGUUACAUUCAAAUUCUACUAAUUAGUCUUGCCAAACCUUUCAAAAUCUCUAAAGUGUUCAGUAUCUUAAAUAAUGCUCUCUCUCUCUCUCUCUCUAGAACAUCUGCCAGAUCUGUUCCAUGUGCAGUUGGUUUCUGCUGAUAAUCCAUGUUCCGAAAGGUACCCACACCUCACCAAACUGAUGCGAGAAAGAUGUUGCUAACACUAAGGGGCCAAACCAGUUGCCCAAACAUAAGUGUCUAGAGCCACUUGAGACACUCUCAGGACCCUGAGGCACCUGUACAGAUCUUGCAAUUUAUGAUAACCUGUGAGGAACAUGCUGUCCUUCAUGUAAUAAGAAGAUACCAUAUGAACUCAAACGGGUUUAUACACAGGCAUCUGAGCCAAGAUGGACUGGAUGCCAUCGUGGAGUAG